rnacentral:tRNA from 1 species
GCCCCUAUGGUCUAGCCGGAUAAGAUAGGACCCUGCGGAGGUUCUGACCCGGGUUCGAACGUCCCGGUAGGGGCA